rnacentral:lncRNA from 1 species
ACCCAGGGCUGAGACCCCCACCACCCUGCUGAGCAAAGCUCCCUCCAGGGACCCCCAGCCCCCUCCCCAGCCUGUGGCUCACCCACGCUGCUCCGUGGUGCUACUCCCAGCACUGCCACGCUCGCCCUGGUGUCCGUUUGUGUCAGCUUGUACCUGGAGUGCGGAGCCCCGGUCCUGGGACAAAGGCUGCCCCGAGUCCCCGUACGGCCCUCCCCUUGGCCCGGGACCAGAACCUGCCCAGGAGAGCUUGUCCGGGAGGCAGCGGGGCUGGGGCUGGAGAGCCAACUUGAAAUAGCAGCCCGUGUUAACCACUUCACUGCUGGAGGAGCGCCUGGGACACCUCCACCCAUGGGGGUGGUGGGGGUGCCCGAGCUGCCCAGCAGGGGCUCAGUGUGGGGGCAGCUCCCCAUGAUGCUCAUGAAGAGCCGUGCCUGCCCUUCUGCCCCUCGGGGAGCCGGUGAGCGGGCUGGCCCUGGGAUGAAGGCAGCGACCGAGGUCUGGAAGCCCCACAGACAUCCCUGCUGCCUAAACACACCGCAAGGUGAGGCAUGAGCCAAGCCUGCCACCAGGCUCUGCCCUACCCCACACUGCCCCAUUGCUGGCAGGGGGGUCCAGGACAGAAACAGGAGGGACCUAGCAGGUGGAGGCCUGUCCCCAUGGCCAGGGACCUGUCCAUAAAGCCAUCCCCAUGGGACCCAUCCUCUUGGAACCCAUCCCCUUGGGACCCAUCCCCACAGCCAGGCAUCCAUCUGACUCCAUGGCCAGGGUCCUGUCCUCACAGCCAGGGUCUCGUUGCCCCAGGGUGGUGCAGAAAGAGGUGCAGGCAGGCUGGGGUGCUGCCCUGCUCCUGCCACUGGGCAUCCCUGCUCCCACUGCUGGGCAUCCCUGCUCCCAUCGCUGGGCAUCCCUGCUCCCGCCGCUGGCCAUCCCUGCUCCCAUCACUGGGCACCCCUGCUCCCGCUGCUGCGCCGCAGGCAGCACCACGCUCCCGCCCCGGACAUCCGAGGCCAGCACAGGCCUCACUUUCGUUUUGUCGCUCUGCUGGGCUGGGCGCAGGCAGAGCUGCGCAGGGCUGGCGCACCCACGCUGGAGGAAGGAGGGUGCUCCCAGCACAGCCUGGCGCGGGGAUGCAGACACGGCUGUUCCGGGCAGUGGGCUGGAGCUCAGCGGCCGUGCUAGCAGUGCUGGGGGUGGCCGUCUUCCUCCUGGUCCUGACCUCGGUGAAGGAUGCUGCCCUUCCUACAAGGAACAAAGUAGGUGCCCAGUGGGACCUGGGGGAGCUAGGGAAUGAUCACCAGCCCCUUUCCACCUCUCAUCCUUCCAUCAGCCCUGCCUUCCUCUCUGCUUGCAAGUCUUCCCAUAAGCAGCCCAGCUUUUCAGGGCUUAACCUAAUCAAGGUAGCACUGGGCAGAUCAGCCACCCUCCCGAAACCACAGUCCUGGCUCCUUGCUAAGGAUGGGAGCGAAGAGCAGCCCUCCUCCUGGGACUGCUCUGUCUCCCACCUCAGACACCUCUUCUCUCUUUUCAGCCGGUGGGUUUACAUCUGUGCCUCCUGUUGCUUUCUGCUGGCUGGCUGUUAAAAAAAUGGUCAGGGCUUGUGAGCUCUGCUACUCCCAAAGGUCUGGGAGCAGCUUUGGCAGCCUGAACUGGAUGCCUCCCUGCUCUGCAAAUGACCCUG